GUGCUUGCUUUGGCAGCACAUAUUCUAAAAUUGGAACCAUACAGAGAAGAUUAGUAUGGCCCCUGGCAAGAAUGACAUGCAAAUAUGUGCUAAGCAAAGAAAUUUU